CGUCCAGCCCGCUCAGAAACUCAAAGGAAUUGACGGGGCCCGCACAAGCGGAGGAGCAUGUGGUUUAAUUCGAUGAUACGCGAGGAACCUUACCUGGGCUCGAACGUAAGAUGACUGUAGGUGAAAGCUUACAUCUCUUCGGAGCAUUUUACGAGGUGCUGCAUGGUUGUCGUCAGCUCGUGCCGUGAGGUGUCGGGUUAAGUCCCAUAACGAGCGCAACCCCUACCUUUAGUUGCCAUCAGGUAAUGCUGGGGACUCUAAAGGAACUGCCUACGCAAGUAGUGAGGAAGGCGGGGAUGACGUCAAAUCAGCACGGCCCUUACGUCCAGGGCUACACACGUGCUACAAUGGCCGAUACAGAGGGCAGCUACCUGGUGACAGGAUGCAAAUCUCCAAAGUCGGUCUCAGUUCGGAUCGGAGUCUGCAACCCGACUCCGUGAAGUUGGAUUCGCUAGUAAUCGCGCAUCAGCCAUGGCGCGGUGAAUACGUUCCCGGGCCUU
rnacentral:rRNA from 1 species